CCUACGGGAGGCAGCAGUAGGGAAUAUUGCUCAAUGGGGGAAACUCUGAAGCAGCAACGCCGCGUGGAGGAUGAAGGUUUUCGGAUUGUAAACUCCUUUUGUUAGAGAAGAUAAUGACGGUAUCUAACGAAUAAGCACCGGCUAACUCCGUGCCAGCAGCCGCGGUAAUACGGAGGGUGCAAGCGUUACUCGGAAUCACUGGGCGUAAAGAGCGCGUAGGCGGGUUAACAAGUCAGAUGUGAAAUCCUAUGGCUUAACCAUAGAACUGCAUUUGAAACUGUUAUUCUAGAGUAUGGGAGAGGUAGGUGGAAUGCAUGGUGUAGGGGUAAAAUCCGUAGAGAUCAAGAGGAAUACUCAUUGCGAAGGCGACCUGCUAGAACAUAACUGACGCUGAUGCGCGAAAGCGUGGGGAGCAAACAGGAUUAGAUACCCUUGUAGUC
rnacentral:rRNA from 1 species